UAAGUUUGAUUUUAGGUUUAGUCUGCCCAGUGUGUAUCAUCAACGGCCGCAGUACCUUGACUGUGCUAAGGUAGCAUAAUCAGUUGACUUUUAAUUGGAGUCUGGAAUGAACGGAUAAAUGGGGACAAGCUGUCUCCUCUGGGUUUUAUUGAACUUACUUUUGAGGUGAAAAAGCCUUAAUUUAUUAAAAAGACGAGAAGACCCCAGGACCUUGGAUAUAUUUUGUUGGGGCGACAAGGGAAGAAUUUAGUAUCUUCCUAUGAAAAAUUUUUCUACAUGACGAGAAUUAAGAAAGAUUAAGGUACCCUGGGGAUAACAGCAUAAUUUAUUAUUUAAGAUUGUGACCUCGAUGUUGGACUAGGAAU
rnacentral:rRNA from 1 species